CUCAGUAACGGCGAGUGAAGCGGUAACAGCUCAAAUUUGAAAUCUGGGUCUUUCAGGCUCCGAGUUGUAAUUUGUAGAAGAUGCUUUGGGUGCGGCCCCGGUCUAAGUUCCUUGGAACAGGACGUCAUAGAGGGUGAGAAUCCCGUAUGUGAUCGGUGGCCUGCGCCCGUGUAAAGCUCUUUCGACGAGUCGGGUUGUUUGGGAAUGCAGCUCUAAAUGGGUGGUAAAUUUCAUCUAAAGCUAAAUAUUGGCCAGAGACCGAUAGCGCACAAGUAGAGUGAUCGAAAGAUGAAAAGGACUUUGGAAAGAGAGUUAAACAGUACGUGAAAUUGUUGAAAGGGAAGCGCUUGCAACCAGACUUGCGCGGGGUCGAUCAUCCGGGGUUCUCUCCGGUGCACUCGGCCUCGCUCAGGCCAGCAUCGGUUUCGGUGGUUGGAUAAAGGCCUUGGGAAUGUGACUCCUCUCGGGGAGUGUUAUAGCCCUCGGUGCAAUGCAGCCUACUGGGACCGAGGACCGCGCUUCGGCUAGGAUGCUGGCGUAAUGGUUGUAAGCGACCCGUCUUGAAACACGGACCAAGGAGUCUAACAUCUAUGCGAGUGUUUGGGUGUCAAACCCAUACGCGUAAUGAAAGUGAACGGAGGUGAGAACCCUUAAGGGUGCAUCAUCGACCGAUCCUGAUGUCUUCGGAUGGAUUUGAGUAGGAGCAUAGCUGUUGGGACCCGAAAGAUGGUGAACUAUGCCUGAAUAGGGUGAAGCCAGAGGAAACUCUGGUGGAGGCUCGCAGCGGUUCUGACGUGCAAAUCGAUCGUCAAAUUUGGGUAUAGGGGCGAAAGACU
rnacentral:rRNA from 1 species